CUACCUACCUGAAUGAGGGAGCAGCCGAGAACAAAAUUGAGGAAAGAAGAAGAAAGAAAUUGUAGCGAGUAGAGUGGGACAUUACAUGAACCAUUGAGCUCAAGCGCCAUCAACUUGUGCUGCUAGCUCAAUGGUGCCAAAAAAUGUUACCCAAAAGAGAACUUACGCAGAUUUUUCCCAUCGCCCAGUGGUUCUUAGGUGAGUUGUUAAGAAAUAAAAGCUAAAAUGAUUUGUUAAACUAAAAUGAUUUGUUAAGAAAUAAAGCUAAAAUAUAUUUUUAUGAUACAGAUUCAAAUUAUUCGAUGACAUUGAUAUUUUGGACUUGGAGACAUCAUGGAGUGUCGUUGUUAUGAUAGAUGUCAAGUUCCCUGUCCAGCCUCGUUAUCGUGAUAGCCAACACUUUAUCCUUAUGGAUACCUGUGUAAGUCACUUGUAUUAAUUGAUUCAUAUAGAGAAUAACAAUAGUGUAAUAAGAAAUUUUCAUCACUACAUAACAUUGGUUGUUAUUAAAUUUUAAAGGGGUCCAAAAUGGAAGCAAUUGCAUCGAACAACAACGUUGAAAGAUUCAAUGCUUUACUUGCUGAAGGAUGUGUUUAUACCUUACAUGAAGUAAGAUUCGAUCCUAACUGGGAGGAGGCGUUGCAAUUUCGAAAUAUUGGACAUCGAUAUGAGUGUGUCUUGAACAAUCGCACUAGGGUUGA